rnacentral:lncRNA from 1 species
UGUGAAAAUAACGUCUUUUUAAAAAUAUUUCUCAUUUCUCAAAUGCCAGACAAAGUUCUAAUAAUAUCUUGCAUAAAAUAUUUUCUCUACAACGAGAGAAACCGUCAUUUAUGAAAUAUUGCCGUAAGUAUUAAGAGCCUAAAGUGUCAUUUGUAGCGGAACUCUUAACCAUUCCUGAUGUUUUUUGUUAUUUUGAGAAUAUCAAAAUAUCGUUAUUUACUGAUUGUUUAAUAAGAAUUUAUUAUAAAAGUAUUACAAAACGUAUCAAACAGGAUACUACAUACUAUAUAUUUUGUCAACUACAUUAUAUCCAUUCUGUCGCCACAUAAAUCACUUUAUAAACAUUUUUUAAUGAGGGACAUCAAAUUGUCUGCAAGGAAUAUUGUUUGGUCAAUGCCAUUUGGCGGAAACAAACUUGACAGGGAGGAUUCCCAUUUGUUUAAAUUAUUUUUUUUUUCUCUUUUAAAUGUCAAAUGAUGUCUCAGAGUCUUCCCCACGCCGUGUUAAAAUCAACACCAAUGUUGUAAAUAAAGUUAAAAUGUAAUUUAAAUAAUAAUGAAUCGGAAGUUCAUUCAAAUCGACAGCAAAUAAGGACGAAUAUUGUAUUAAAAAAUCAGUUAUACCCAGAAACCACCGAAAGCUAUUAGAUUUACAAAAUAAAUCCACUUUCACUAUUUCGUAUUUGUAUUUGGUUUGCAAGAUUUUUGGUGUGAACUCGUAUGUUAGAACAUAUUUUUGUAUCUCAGGACGGUCAUUACGUCAAUAAUAAACGCGUUGGUUCUAUUUCACUUCUUUUAUUAUCGUCAUCAUUAUUAUUAUUAUUAUUAAUCAACUAGUUAACUACUUAAAUAAUUGAUUGUUUGAUUAAUCAUUUAGUCAAUCAAUCAGCUAUAUUCGUCAAAGUCCUUUUAGCAUCAUUUACGACCUCAAUGACUUGCCCAGUCUGCACCAGAUCUGUUUGUCUCGCAAGUUUACAAGCUCUGAAUGUGUAUGGCUGUAAAUAAGAAUGUCAGAUGUAACAGAAUAUAUACAAAAAAAAAACAAAAACCGCAGAAUUUAUUUACAUCUCUUUAUGUACUUAGUUCAAAUCUUGCUGAAGACAACUGGUUUCUUUUCCUUUCACUAAUUUUUAAAAAGGCAUGGCUAUGUAGUAUGGAAACUUGCUUUCUAACCAUGUGGUGUUAGGACAGCACCUUAGGCAAGUGUCUUCUGUUGUCCCCAACCAUGAGUGAAUUUGGUAGAUGAAAAUUAAAAGCCUGUAUGUGAAAUGAUGAUACCAUCAUUUAACGUCCGUGUUGCAUGAAUUGAACAGUUUGACUGGAUCUGAUGAAUCAAAGGACUGCACUGUUCCCUGCUGCAAACCCUUUCUAAUGCUAACCAGUGCUUUUUCAUGUCACUAGUACUACUGAGGUUACCAUGCAGCUCACAAGUCUACAAAAUCCAAGGAGAGGAGUGCAUCCUUGUUUUAGAUGGGUUUUGAGAGUUGAGGUUGGGGUAGAGCAGGUUCUUGUAGCGGAGCUACACGGUGACUCAUAUUUAAGGGGAAGAAAGAUGAUGAAUCAGAAGUAUUUUAUAUAACCCUAAUCUUAACCCUGCAAAAUAUAUAUGCACAAAACUGUUACUCAGAAUUUCACAUUCUCAUUCAUCACAAUUCUGAGAAAUGGGAACUUGAAACUUUCUCAACCACAAGGUUUUGAUUUCAGUCUCACUACAUGACACCUUGGGCAAGUCUCUUCUACUAUCGGCUGAGGCUGUAUUUGGUUGACAAAAACUGAAAGACGUUCAUCUUUUAUAUAUCAUCAUCAUCACUUAAGAUCAAAUUUUCCAUCAUGCUGGCAUGGGUUGGAUGGUUGACAGGAGCUGACAAGGCUAGGAGCCCCAACAGGCUUCAUUGUUUGUUUUGGCAUGGUUUCUACAGCUGGAUGUCCUUCCUAAUGCCAACCAUUUUACAGGGUGUGGACUGGGUGCUUUUUAUGUGGCACCGGCACUAACAAGAUCACCAAAUACCUCAAGACAAAAUCCCAUCAAUUGGUAGUGGGGAGUAGUAUUGAGAGGGUGUCACUUUGUGCCAGUUGAAAAAUUAGAUGUACAGGGGGACAGAUAAGUGUUUUGUUGUGGUGUAGAUACAGGGAUACUCCUACUGGAAAAGAAAGAAGAUUGAGUUAGAGAAUAAGAUAAAGAGAAUGAUAGUGAGGGAGAUGAUUGCAAAGAUGUGCCAGGACAUGACCUUCAGGGACAUUGAGAGUGGUGAGAAUAGGUGAGGUGAUACCAAGGUUUGGUCUGAGUGAAUGGGCAGGAUUAAGGUGACUGUAGCAAAUGAUGGAGAGAAAUAUAUGGUGGAGAUUGCAGUAGAUAUGUGGGGGGGGGCAUAUCUAGUUAUGGGAAAUAUUACCUUGCUUUGGAAACAAGUAAGAGUUGGUGACAAGAACAUCCGGCCAUAGAAAAACUACCUUGACAAAUUCCAUCUAACCUAUGUAAGCCUGGAAAACUGGAUGCUAAAACAUUGAUGAUGUUACACAGUCUGAAAAUGUAGCUGCAGUCUUUAAAUAUAUCAACUUCACACAAGGUUGUAUGAUGGAAUUUUAACAUCCAAUUAGAAAUUAAAAGUCAUUUGUUUAGGUAAAUGUUUCUUCUCCCAUCAUCAUUUAGCAGCCAUUUUCCAUUCCGAUAUAGAUUGGAUGGUUUGAGAGCACGCAUCAAGCUGCCCAGCUUGGCUGAGCUUCAACAUGGCUUCUACAGCUAGAUACCCUUCCUAAUGCCAACCACUUUUCAGCAGGUGCUGGGAGCCUCUUCAUGUCACUGGCUCUAGUGGCUGUGAGCAGUUGGGAGGGGAUAAAGAUGGUAGUGAUGGAAUGCCAGAGCUGACUCCCAGGGCAUAGAAAAGUGAGUGUAAAAGAGGAUCCAGACAGUGGGUCAGGAAAUGGUAGAAAGUAGUGGGUAUUUUUAUAAGUGUGUGAGGGAAGAGUAACAGAUGAUUGGAGAUGGGAGAGAUAUAAGUGAUGGGAAACAGCUAUAUGGAGAGAGAGGGUAUGGUGAGCGAUAGAAGUGGCUUAAGAGGGGGUAGAUCAGAAGGAUGAGGGGCAGAGUAUGAUGUACAAUGUAUAGUAGUGGAAAGGAGAGAAGUGUAGCAGUAUAUAAGGGUGGCUAUAGUAAGUAAGAUGUGAUGGCAUAUAUAAGAGGGUGCUGAGGGUGAAAGCAGAUAUGUGAAAUAGGAGAGUAUUGUAGCUUGCUUGAAGCAUUGUAUAUUGUUUAUAAAGAAUAAAUUAUUCUGAAUGGUACAACAAUGGACUAUAAUAACUGUUGUAAUUUAAUCAUCCAUAGUCUGAUAUGAUAUUUUGGAACAUAAAAUUCUUUCUUCAGAUAUUACAUGCUGAAAAGUGGUUGGCAUUAGGAAAGGUAUCUAGCUGUUGAAGCUGAUUAUAGCAGCAGCUCCAUCAAUUCCUAGGGAUGACCCAGGAAAACCUGGGACGAGGUGGUGAAGCACGACCUUCGGACGUUAGGUCUCACCAUGGAAAUGACUAGAGACCGAGACCUAUGGAAGUAUGCUGUGCGUGAGAAGACCCGGCAAGACUAGUGAAGCCAUAAUCCGUGGCCCCUACCUGGGACGUAGUCAGUCCACCUGUGCAUACCUUCCUUCUUGUGACACUUGUGAAGACCUGUUGAGGCAAGUGAGAAUCGAAUCGUAUCAAAUCAAAUCGAACCAAAUCAAAAUAGAUGAACAUCAAUGGAAUUUGUAUCCUUGUGGUACCAGUGCCGGUGGCACAUAAGAAAACCAUCCGAACGUGACCGUAGCCAGUACCGCAAUGACUGGCCUCCGUGCUGAGGGCACGUAACAAACACCAUCCGAGCGUGGCCGUCCGCCAGCCUCGUCUAGCACCUGUGUCGGUGACACAUAAGAAAACACCAUCCGAGCGUGGCCGUCUGCCAGCCUCGUCUGGCACCUGUGUCGGUGGCACAUAAAAAACACCAUCCGAGCGUGGCCGUCUGCCAGCCUCGUCUGGCACCUGUGUCGGUGGCACAUAAAAAACACCAUCCGAGCGUGGCCGUCUGCCAGCCUCGUCUGGCACCUGUGUCGGUGGCACAUAAAAUCACCCACUACACUCUCGGAGUGGUUGGCGUUAGGAAGGGCAUCCAGCUGUAGAAACACUGCCACAUCUGACUGGCCUGGUGCAGCCUUCGGGCUUCCCAGACCCCAGUUGAACCGUCCAACCCAUGCUAGCAUGGAAAGCGGACGUUAAACGAUGAUGAUGAUGAUGAUGAUGAUCUGAAGAAGGAAUUUUAUAUUCUGAAAUAUCACAUCAGACUAAGGAUGAUUAAAUUACAGCAGUUCUUAUAGUCCAUAUGUGAAAUAUUUUAAUGGUGUGUUACAUAGGAGAGAGAUAACUGAGAGUGUAGAAAUAUAAAUAGGGGAGGGAGGGGUAAUAUGUGGAGUGAUGAAGGUACACAGAAAGAGGAAGGGAUAAUCUGCAAAGUGAUGGAAAGCUGGGUGUUAGAGGAAGGAGAUGUGAGGAAUGGUUGACAGGGCAAAAUCAGUUACAAGCAUAAUCAGAAUGCUUUUAUUUAAGAUAUCUUUUUUGCUGUGUUGGACAGGUCUUCUCAAGCAUAGUGAAUUGCCAUUCAUAUUGGGCCCUUCUUAUCUUCUGCUCAGCCUUCACUACUUCAUCCCACGUCUUCCUCUUCCACAAGUUCCCAUCCACAUUAAACAACCAGCAUUUCUUUGUACAGCUGAUCUCAGCCAUACACAUCACAUGACCAAACCAGUGCAGUUGUCUGUCUUACACACUACAACUCAUUCCUUUUAUGUCUUAUUUUUGAAAGAUCAAAACCAUGGCACUUUGUCAUGUAUGCACAUCCAGCAGAGUGUACUAGCUUCAGUCCUCUCUAGUCCUUGCAUUUCCUCUAUAUUCAUGGUCUACAUCACACUACAAUGUAGCUUUGCUUUUAGUACCAAAGCAUCAUACAGUCUGCCUUUGUUCAGAGAGAGAGAAACCUUUUGUAACCAACAAAGUAAUACCUCCUUAUUCUAGCAACUAUAUUUUCAGAAUGUCAUCCAUUAUUUCUAAGGAGCCUCCAAGGCGUUCAAGAAAAUCUAUAUUCCCUGUCUCCUUAGUCCUUAUGGCUCCUAUGCUUCUUCCACAUACACACUACUUUCUCAGUUAAUUUUCCUGCGAUUCCACUGCAUCACUUUUGCGUCCGUAGCUUGCACCACGUACAUUAUAUUGAAUUCCUGCCUUAACCUCUCCUACAUAUCAACCAGGGCCAUUUACCUGAGCAGGUUGGGGGUGGGUCUAUUUUUCUGCUUACUAGAACUUUUGUCUUUGCUUAGUUAACUUUAAGGCCCUUCAAUUCCAGGUUUGCUUCCAUUACCAAGAAUUUCUUUUCAAAUUCUACUAUAGAUUCUGCUUUAAGAAUGAGGUCAUUGACAUAUAAUAGUUCCCAAAGGCAGCAAGUUAUAAAUUCCACUAUUAUGAUCUGGAGAACAAGGAUGAAUAAGAAGGGAUAAGAACUGAGCCCCAGUACACACCUACCUGUACCCUACUUUAUUGUAGUACUCAUGCCCAACUGUCACUUUACUGACUGCAUCCCUAUACGUGGCUUGUACAACCCUCAUAAACCAUUCAUCAACUCCUAGCUUCCUCAGAGAUCACCAUAUCAUAGAGCGGGGGAACCCUGUCAAAGACAUUCUCCAGGUCAGUGAAUGCCAGGUACAAUGGCCUACUUUUAACUAGAUACUUCUCUCGACAGUUCAUCACCAUAGAAAUCGAGAAAAAUGUUCAUUGUUAUAUUUACAUUUUAUGUAUCAUCUACAUCUUAUAUUGUUUCUCUCUGUUAUUUCAGAAUAUCAGAUGGUAUUGGCUAAAAAGAAAAUGUUUACAUCAGAUGCAUCAUCAACUUUUUAUCAUCUUUUAAAGACUUAAGGAAAAUAUACAGAAAUUAUAUAACCCUGUUUGUAUAAAUCUGAUAGAAUUACUGUCUGGAAUCUGUUUAAGAUGAUCUUUUCAUUCUCCUUCAACCUGGACAAAUUUACAAAAGAGGUUG